rnacentral:rRNA from 1 species
AGUGAACGCUGGCGGUAGGCCUAACACAUGCAAGUCGAACGGCAGCACAGUAAGAGCUUGCUCUUACGGGUGGCGAGUGGCGGACGGGUGAGGAAUACAUCGGAAUCUACUUUUUCGUGGGGGAUAACGUAGGGAAACUUACGCUAAUACCGCAUACGACCUACGGGUGAAAGCAGGGGAUCUUCGGACCUUGAGCGAUUGAAUGAGCCGAUGUCGGAUUAGCUAGUUGGGGGGUAAAGGCCACCAAGGCGACGAUCCGUAGCUGGUCUGAGAGGAUGAUCAGCCACACUGGAACUGAGACACGGUCCAGACUCCUACGGGAGGCAGCAGUGGGGAAUAUUGGACAAUGGGCGCAAGCCUGAUCCAGCCAUACCGCGUGGGUGAAGAAGGCCUUCGGGUUGUAAAGCCCUUUUGUUGGGAAAGAAAAGCAGCAGGUUAAUACCCCGCUGUUCUGACGGUACCCAAAGAAUAAGCACCGGCUAACUUCGUG